UCGAACGAGAAAGUGGAGCAAUCCAUGAGUAAAGUGGCGCACGGGUGAGUAACACGUGACUAACCUACCCUGGAGUGGGGGAUAACUGAGGGAAACCUUAGCUAAUACCGCAUAAUACCUACGGGUCAAAGGAGCAAUUCGCUUUGGGAGGGGGUCGCGGCCGAUUAGUUAGUUGGCGGGGUAAUGGCCCACCAAGACGAUGAUCGGUAUCCGGCCUGAGAGGGCGCACGGACACACUGGAACUGAAACACGGUCCAGACUCCUACGGGAGGCAGCAGUGGGGAAUCUUGCACAAUGGGGGAAACCCUGAUGCAGCGACGCCGCGUGAACGAUGAAGCCCUUCGGGGUGUAAAGUUCUUUCGGCAGGGAAGAUGAUGACGGUACCUGCAGAAGCAGCUGCGGCUAACUACGUGCCAGCAGCCGCGGUAAUACGUAGGCAGCGAGCGUUGUUCGGAGUUACUGGGCGUAAAGGGUGUGUAGGCGGCUCUCUAAGUUUGGUGUGAAAUCUCCCGGCUCAACCGGGAGGGUGCGCCGAAAACUGGGGGGCUAGAGUGCGGGAUGGGAGAGUAGAAUUCCUGGUGUAGCGGUGAAAUGCGUAGAUAUCAGGAGGAAUACCGGUGGUGUAGACGGCUCUCUGGACCGCAACUGACGCUGAGACACGAAAGCGUGGGUAGCAAACAGGAUUAGAUACCCUGGUAGUCCACGCCCUAAACGAUGCAUAUUUUGGUGUAGGUCAUUCAGUUGAUCUGUGCCGGAGCUAACGCGUUAAAUAUGCCGCCUGGGGAGUACAGUCGCAAGGCUGAAACUCA
rnacentral:rRNA from 1 species